CUCCUAGUAAACAAAGGAAACAAAUCAUAUAUAAACCAAACUGAGCAAAAGCACCCUUGAUUAUGCUCCAUGUCUCCAAUAAUUUUGCACAUUUUGUGAUGGUCAUAAACUCAUAAUUAAAAUCAAUUCACUUAUAUUCUGAAGCAGGAUAACACUGAACCAGAAUCCAAUGCAAGUAAAUACCAUAAGAAAUCAAACAAUGGCAAAAACUCAGCCUUUUACCACCAAUAGGUUUGCAUUGUUUAUUAGUUUAAAAUUAUGAAAUUCAACAUAAAUUUCCAAACUAUGAAUUUUGAAACAUAAGAAGAAUGUGAUGCCACAUAUUAGACUGAUACCUUUAUCACCCUGCAUAAGGUUUUCCCAUACUCUUUGAAGAGCAAAUUGCCAUGACAAAUCAACUUGAGGAUGAGUUGUUGGUAAAGAAUGGGAUCCGUCCUUGGGUAAAACAGAUAUAUUUGGUACAAAGUUUCUUGAAACAAACACCUAAAAUAUCAUCUAAAAGCUUGUAAAAACCAUAAAAUUAGAUACAGAAUUUCUCUGUCCAGGCUAACUUCUUGCUAUCCCAUUGACAUUAAUCUUACCUUUUAUUCAAUCUAAAAAUAAAGAAGAUAAAUUUUAUGCAGUUGUCAUCGAAGUGAAUUGCAAUUUUUUUUUUUUUUUUGCAUGCUUUAUGUCAUAUUGCAAUUAUCAUGGAAGUUAAGUCACUGUUUAAUACCAUCAAUCCAACAGUCUAGGAAACUAAGACAGCUUCAGCAACAAUGGCUUUGUUAUAGUGUUAAGAAUACUAAGGAGAUGUCACACUAGGAAUAACGGAAGACAUGAACUGAUACUCUUUGACUAAUCUCAAGACAUCAGCCAAUGCAAAGGAACCAGUUCUACAAGGACCUUGUCAAUCAAAUUAACGAAAACAAAAAAGAGAAGCAAAGGGAGAAUGGAGAAGCAAGCAUUAAAGCCUACAAGAUAAUAUGUAAAGCUUAAAAGAUAUGAUAUGAUUACAUAAUAUCAAAAUGCCAGGAAAAUCUCAAAGCUAAACCGUUGUCUACACAAAAAAAGAGGAAAUUUGUCUGCAGCGGGAUGAUCAUGGUCUCGGCUCUCAGCUUCUUUUGUUAUGCUUGGGAGCAGGCCCCUAUGUACAUGGGGUUUAUGCCUGAUCCUAUUGGCAACCCAAUUGUUUUUUUAUUUCUUUCUCUAUAUGCAGGGAAAGUCAUGGCAGGGGUCUGUCCUGCAAUGAGCUAACCUGCACUACCACCACAAAGGGUAGUUUUUUGUAACCAUAUUAAUUCUAGUCGUGAAAUCUUACCUGAACACUUUUCAAAAGAUUAAAAAAAAAAUAUUCAAAGCUAAAUAUCAUUGCAAAAAGACUGAUACAUUAAUUCAUCUCAAAGCUAAUACAAUAAACAAGACAAAAAUCACUUGAUCAUUCAAGCUCGUAUAAUUCAUUUUUAAAAAUCACUUGAUCAUCAGACUCAGUUAUCAAGAAAAGAAAAACAAAUUAUACCUUCAAAUAAUCGAAAAGCAAAUCGAGGUGAUCCCCUUGUUACUCUUAUUAGUAGGAGUGCAUUGCAGUGCAAUUAGAUUACCUACACCAAGAAAAAGAUGGCAUUAUCUCUUAUGAAAAGCAUAGACCCAAAUGAAGAACAAAAAAGAUCAUAAAAAUGUCUAACUCACCUGCAACUACUUCGAACUGAGGAUUUGACAUUACAAAAUUAGAGUUUUCGGUCAUCUAAUGUAUCAAUUAUUUGGAUGGAGGGUAUGUGGCGCACUUUAGAGAAAUCCUUUCCUUCUCUUCCAUCUAUCACUUGAAUCCUCUCUACCAAUGACUGCCUCAUUAAGAUUAAUUCCAAUUCUUGAAGAGCAAAAAUAUACCUCAACCCUUCUGGAAAAGUCCUCAAAUUUUCAACAUCGUGCAUUCGUAAACGCUGGAGAUGUGGCAUUGCACCUUCUUCUAUCUGCCACUCUUCUAAUUCUUUUAGACCUCCGAUGUAAAGAAAAUCAAGUUGCAGAAACUCAUUUGCAGAGCAAACCAUUUUACUCCCCGCAUAUGAUUUAUACCAUAAGCGGAGAGUCCUCAGAUGAGGCAACUUUCCCAAUACAGCCAUUGGAUCCUGGUUCAUCAUACAUGACGACAAAGUUAACUUGGUAAUGUUUGCUGGCAGAAAUUUCAAAACAUGAAGGCUUGAAUGCGGAUCUUCUUGUAUCAUCCCUCUUAAGGAUAGUUUCGAUAGGUGAUGGCACCGAGAAAGGGGUUCCAAAUCUGGGAAUGGGAUAGAAUCCUGUAAUGACAUGCGCAAUGAGCAAAGGCGGUGUGAUUCGACCAGUGCUUUCAGGAUAGGCUCAACAUCUUUUGAUCUCUCAAAAAUUAUUCCCAAAUUCUUAACAUUAGUCAAGAUGAGCGCUGCACUAUUUUCAAUCAAAGUCUCAACCCGUAUGUACUUUAAAGUUUCAAUACUUUUUGAAGCAUCACUUGGCAGCAAAAACUUAUGUACUCCCUCCCAACCAUUGUAAUUUUGCACAAUAAUAUGUCUUAAACGUUUCAACUGGAAGAGAACAUUAGGAAUUCUUGUUAAUGCUUGAUUUCGGAGGUAUAAAGUGUGUAAACUCUUCAAUUUGCCGAUAGACUGUGGCAAGAUGAUCCUUCCUGAACAUUCUAACCCCAAAUACCUCAAAUGAUGUAGAUUACCAAUUUCAUUUGACACAUGCCACUUCAUCAUAUCCCUUUUCAUAAGAUUCAAGACCCUUAAAAAUUUGAAAUCAUUGCAUUUUGAAAUUUGCAAUUUUAUCAUUUCCUCGUUUUGAAAGAGCAAAAGAGAAUGUAAGUUUGGAUGUUUUCCUUUCAAAGAAACAACCUUUUGUUAGGAUGAAUAGCAAUUCUUCGUGCCAUAGAUGCUGUCAAGGUCACAUGAAGAGAAUUACCAUUGUUUUCAUUAAUUGGUGGUUGAAUAAUUCCCAAGAAAUUUUCCUCUUGAGCUUUUCGGAUGCACAAGUCCCUCAAGAGAUCAUGUAUGUGACAUGUUUUCACACCUAUUCCUGUAUAGUCCCUCUUGCCAACUUGAACCAAACAUCUAUUUAUUAGUUCUUCUAGGAAUUGUUCAGCAACAUCCUCCAUCAACAUUCCCUCAUUUUCCCAUGAUGGUGAAAUGAAACCUUCAGCAAUCCAUAAUCGAAUGAGUUCUUUUUUGGAGAUCUCCCAAUCUUCUGGAUAAUGACCAAGAUAUAAAAAGCAUGGUUUUAAAUGAAAGGGCAACUCAUUGUAGCUUAAAGCCAAAAUCUCAUUCACUGCACCAUAAUGAUGAUCUUGUUGUUGGAACUUAUUUAUGUGUGCAUUGAUGUUUCGGUGAACCAUCUCCCACUGAGCCCGUGACUUUUUUGUUGCCAACAAACCUCCUAACGCAGCAAUGGCCAGAGGUAAACCUCCACAUUUUUUCACCAUCUCUCUUCCUAGCAUCUCCAAUUCUUCUGCGCAAGCAUGAGACUCUAUCUUGUUGCCUGGGAAUGCUUUCAUUCUAAAAAGCUUCCAACUUCCAUUAUCUGUAAGAACUGGAAGCUCUAUUGGGGAGUUGCAAGGAUCGGCAAGUAACGGCACAUCCCUGUUGCGUGUUGUGAAUAAAAUUUUACUUCCCCUUUUUCCUCGUGGAAAAGCAGAUUUAAGACUAUUCCAAUCCUCGUUUCUCCAGAUAUCAUCAAGGACUAUCAAGUAAUGUUUUUCUUUCAAGACAUCAUAAAGCCUUUUGAUCAACUCAUUCUCUUUCAGUUUAUCAAUUAGCUCUCUUUCUUGUGUAGAAGGACAUAGAAGUUUUAUCAGGAGAUCAUGCAAAACAUCUCUUGGCAUACAUUGUCGAGAUAUAAAAGUCCAAGCAAAACAAUCAAAAUGUCCUUUCACAUCAAUGUGAUUAUAUACUUUUUUAGCAAGAGUGGUCUUACCGAUGCCCCCCAUGCCGACUAUUGAAACAACCACAUGAAGUCUAUCUUCUUCUGUCAUCAGCUGAGCCAGAACCUCAUUUGUGAUACCCUCCAAGCUGACAACAUCCUCUUCCUCAACAUGUGAAUAUGUUCUCCUUAACCGCUGCUGCAUCUCGGAAAUAGAGUUAGACCCCUCUCUUCCAGAUAUCUGAUCAUAAGCUGGAAGACUCUUAGAGAUGUCUUCAAGCUUAGUCAGGAUUGCUUUGACCUUCACCCCGAUUUUGUGCAGAUGAAAAGGCUUGGUGAAUCUCUUGAUAAUUCCAUGAAAGCCCCCUUGAUGCGCGACAUGAAGAAUGAAGGUGUCAAUAACAUCUUCUGCUUCAUAAGCAAGAUCUCUGAUUUGUCUCACCAAAGUGCAGGUAAGCUCAUUUUGAUCUUGCUUAUUGUCCGCAACCUUCAAGCAGCUCUUCAUCCUCUCCAGUUCAGCCUUUAGGCGCUGCACCUCCUCACGAACGCCAUGCAGGUAAACAGCUUCAUGAAUGAGUAAAUCCGAUAUUCUUUCAAUAGCUAAGGACACUAUAGCCUCUGCCAUUUGUGCCGCUGAUUCAAAGUAGUCUUCUUUUUCUGCACAACUUUCCUAAUUUCUGUCGCUGGGUAUGUAUAGUUGCCUAAAUUGACAAGACACAGGCGGCAGGGUGAGAGAGAAAGGAGGGAGUUAAAAUGACGAAUCAGGGAUUCCUUUGUUAGCUUUAAAUAUAAAAGAACAAAAGACGAAAGAACUGUUUUAUAUCAUGCGUGAGAGGAGCCAACAGAACCGGUCCAAGCCCAUGAUCCAAGUAUUUCAUAGGUGGUGUUUUUGCUAUAAUUUAUACAAUAAUAAAGAUAAUUAUGUAAUUGAUUAAAUAAAUAAUAUUAAUAAAAAAUUACAACAAUAAGGAUAUGAUUAUAAUGAAUAAAAACAAAAAUAUUAAAUUAAUGUUAAUUACAAAUAUAUAAUGCAAUUUGAUUGAUAGUUUGUUCAAUGCUAUAUUAUGUUUAUACAUUAUGAUCUUUAUUAUGAAUAAUUGAAUCAUAUUUUUUAAACAAUAUGCUAAUACAUUCAUAUAUUUUUUUGAUAACACGAAUAUUAAUAUAAAUGUUUUAGCUAUCAUCAUUAUCCAAAUCCAGAUCUUACCCUCUUUGUGGUAGCUCAAGUGAGUGAAGAAAAAAACUCAAUGAACUGUCUUUUGGGUAAAAAGGGGAAAAAGAUUACAUGUAAUUGUCAUUAACAAUGAAUUGCAAUGUUUUGCUGCAUUUUCUUGUCUCAACUUGUUGCAGAAACAAUACUGCAUUGGCUCAAGCCAAUUCCGGAUUCCGUUAACCGAAAGUGUAUACCUAAACCGACAAAGCUUAGAAAGAGUGAGCUUUGGCAACACAAACAGCAUGGAGAAGUUGCCUCACUUGGAAAGGACAAUGAAGCGAAGGCUGUUGCCAAGUAGGAGCACAAAGGAAGGUUCAACCUCAUUUCUUGAUUAAUCUUAAGACAUCACCGACAAGAUGCAAGGAACCGGUUACCAGGACCUGUUCAAAUCAAAAUAAGGAAAUCGUAAAAACCCAAGAGAAGCACAAGAGAGAAGUAGGUGUAACCAGUAAAAGCAUACAAAGUAACCCCUUCUCUUUCACAGCCGAGCCAUGACCUCAAUACCUUUUGAAUUACACCAUGUUGACUUGGUACAGAUGACGCAUUCCCUUACCAAUGUAAUUGAAAGGAAGGCUGGAUUUCGAAUUCGUCCAUCCUCGCAAAGAAAUUUCAUCCAGAUGACUACAUAAACUAGAUGAUCAGGUACUUUUUUGGGGAAAUUUUUUUGCAAAGCCUAACCAAGUGUUCCUAAGAAAGAAGGGUACAAGUGCAACCAUCCAGUCAAAAUAUACAUAUAUUUUAAGGCUAACUCAGCCAACGGUUUUGUCAACAGAAAUGUUUCUUUCUUCUCUCCCAUUCUCAGAAAAAAGAAAUGUACACUUCCAUAACCCAGAGUAGAAUAUCUAUGCUUUUCUCAAUUCUGUAACCAUAAAAAAUGUUUCCAAGGAAAAACUCACCUAAUGGCUUGAUUCAUUUAUAAUCCCAUCCGUUCUAAAACCUUCGAGGUCUCAUGUGCUAGACUUCAACCUCAUCAGAAACAAGGUUGAAUAUACUAAGCUCUGAUACUACAGCUAGCAACUCAAUCUACAGUACUCUAACCUUGUUACAUAUGAGGCAGGCAAAUAUUUGCAAUAGCAGACUAUAUAUUCUCAAACAAAUAUAAUCCCAAAACACAAGAAUUACCUGAAAUCUAACAAAUUGAUCCUUCUGGGCAGCAUCCCUGAGCCAUUUGAUGGCCAAUGGUAGAGAAGAAAAGACAGAACUGUUAUUACAACUCCUAACGCUCAUUCCUGUAUCAUCUUUCACUUCUUCACAAGCUUGAUCUGUGUUAAUGGCCUCCCCUCCUAGUAAACAAAGGAAACAAAUCAUAUGUAAACCAAACUGAACAAAAGCACCCUUGAUUAUGCUCCAUGUCUCCAAUAAUUUUGCACAUUUCGUGAUGGUCAUAAUUAAACUCAAUUCACUUAUAAUCUGAAGCAGGAAAAUGGAACUAGAAUCCAAGGCAAGUAAAUACCAUAAGAAAUCAAACUAUGGCAAAAUCUCAACCAUUUACCACCAAUAGGUUUGCACUGUUUAUUAGUUUAAAAUUAUGAAAUUCAACAUAAUUUCCAAACUAUGAAUUUUGAAACAUAAGAAGAAUGUAAUGCCACAUAUUAGACUGAUACCUUUAUCACCCAGCAUAAGGUUUUCCCAUACUCUUUGAAGAGUGAAUUGCCAUGACAAAUCAACUUGAGGAUCAGUUGUUGGUAAAGUAUGGGAUCCAACCUUGUGAUACACAGAUAUGUUUGGUACAAAAAGUGCCUUCUUGAAACAGACACCUGA
rnacentral:lncRNA from 1 species